GACGAACGCUGGCGGCGUGCUUAACACAUGCAAGUCGAGCGGAAAGGCCACUUCGGUGGUACUCGAGCGGCGAACGGGUGAGUAACACGUGAGUAAUCUGCCCCUGGCUUUGGGAUAGCCACCGGAAACGGUGAUUAAUACCGGAUACGACCACUUCUCGCAUGGGAUGGGGGUGGAAAGUUUUUUCGGCCAGGGAUGUGCUCGCGGCCUAUCAGCUUGAUGGUGAGGUAAUGGCUCACCAUGGCUUCGACGGGUAGCCGGCCUGAGAGGGUGACCGGUCACACUGGGACUGAGACACGGCCCAGACUCCUACGGGAGGCAGCAGUGGGGAAUAUUGGACAAUGGGCGGAAGCCUGAUCCAGCAACGCCGCGUGAGGGAUGACGGCCUUCGGGUUGUAAACCUCUUUCAGCAGGGACGAAGCGCGAGUGACGGUACCUGCAGAAGAAGCACCGGCCAACUACGUGCCAGCCGCCGCGGUAA
rnacentral:rRNA from 1 species